GGCCACUUUUCUGUAGAGCUGCUAUGGUUUGCUGGGUGUCCACUCCAGUCCUUAGUCACGUUGGAUUUUCCAGUACCUGAAGGUAUCAUCAGUGAAGUCUGCAAAACAACAAAUGAAAUUGGAAGCUCUAUGCUAUCCUCAUCAAAAUUAAUAAUAAACGUAAGUAUCAACAUUUUAUACUAUGAACAGUGUGCACAUUAUGGACACUAUAAUACUGUUUGAGUAUAUUUGCUAUUGACUCCAGAUCCUCAAUAAGUUGAAAGUAUUGUUGUGUAAAUCCAGUCUUGGAGGGCAAUUCAGGGACAGAAAUGGCAGUAC
rnacentral:lncRNA from 13 species